rnacentral:rRNA from 1 species
AUUGAACGCUGGCGGCAGGCCUAACACAUGCAAGUCGAGCGGAUGAAGAGAGCUUGCUCUCUGAUUUAGCGGCGGACGGGUGAGUAAUGCCUAGGAAUCUGCCUGGUAGUGGAGGAUAACGUUCCGAAAGGAACGCUAAUACCGCAUACGUCCUACGGGAGAAAGCAGGGGACCUUCGGGCCUUGCGCUAUCAGAUGAGCCUAGGUCGGAUUAGCUAGUUGGUGAGGUAAUGGCUCACCAAGGCUACGAUCCGUAACUGGUCUGAGAGGAUGAUCAGUCACACUGGAACUGAGACACGGUCCAGACUCCUACGGGAGGCAGCAGUGGGGAAUAUUGGACAAUGGGCGAAAGCCUGAUCCAGCCAUGCCGCGUGUGUGAAGAAGGUCUUCGGAUUGUAAACCCAUUUUAUUAAGGAGGAACGCUGAAAGGUGAAUAAUCUUUUAGUUUGACUGUACUUAAUGAAUAAGUCACGGCUAACUCCGUGCCAGCAGCCGCCGUAACAC